GUCUCUGCCCUCAGAGAUCAAGCGUGGGGAAGCAGACCUAAAAUGUGCAGGUGAAUCUCGUGUGCUUGGUGAUAAGCGAAGCGUGGCAGAAGCAGAGCAGUGGGGCACCUACGCUGGGCUUCCAUAGCUUUCGAGUCAUCCGCUCUUGCUCAGUCCUCCACUGACCACGACAAAAGUAUUUAGGUACAACUGUUACAUGCAGACACCAGAUGCCAGGCUCUCAAUGGCAGCCUCAUCAGGCGGUGCAAAGAUUUUAAUGAAAUAGAUCUCUGCUACUGAAGAGUUCAGGCUAAGUAAAGGACUCGCUCAUGGAAGACAGUUUGGGGUUUGACAAGCAGUUCACUGCAGAGGCCCUGCCCUGCCCAGCCCCACCCUCUGGCCUUCUGCCAAGUGAAGGCCAAGGCUGCCCUGAGAAAGGGGAAGAGAAAGAGGAGCAAGACCACGGGAGACCGCGUUUGCUCACCAUGGUAGGGAGACAGUCUCCACGAUCACAGUGGGCCAAGACACAGCAUGAGGACCUUGGAAGUUUAGCGCAGUGA
rnacentral:lncRNA from 1 species